GAUUUCCUGCGGCUCAGUCAGCAGAGCACUGCGCUAACGUCACAAAGAUUGUGGGUUCAAACCCCAGGGAAAGCA